CUUUCUGGGAAGUCCUGGGAUCUCUUCGUUGUGCUCUCCAAGCUUGGGAGGCCCAGUACCUGGUGUGUCCAGGUUGUAUGACGUUUCUGCCUGGUUUCGGUGAGUAUAUAGCGUAUUCUCUGUCACUGUGGGAUUGGGCGGGUCGUAAGUCAGUGAUGGCGAUCCUGCGGAGCUAGUAUGGUGUCUAGCAGAUUCGCGCCCUGGGAGGAUGGUGCAGCCGCUGCGCGAAUCUGGGACUCCGGGGAGUGUGUACCAGCACCUUCAUAAGGGUGUGGCCAUCAUCUGACUUUCUGGAUCCAGUGAGACACAUGAGGAGGACGAAAGAUUUUGAAUCUCCAGCAUGAAUCCCCUGGUACCUGUCCCCAGGAAGCAGGUCAAGGCAGCUCUUCCAGCAGGGAGAAGCCCACUCUCCUACUUGUGACCAUGACUUGAGAGAAAGAAGAAACAUCUGAACUCCUGAUGCACAUAUGCCCAAGUGAAUGAAAACGUCUCACAGGCUGAGAAGCACACUCUUGCCCUUACCUUAGGAGCCUGGGGGUCGCUGGGUGAAAAAUCAAGCAAGGACUCAGCCUCAGGAGUGAGAGCUGCCUUUGCAUGGUAACCUGGGGUAGACAGAAGACACAGCGGCUACCAAGGCUGAAGGGACUUUUCCUCCUCACUCCCAAAGCCCAUCUUAAAGCCCAUCGGCUCUGCUCUCCUUCCUCUUUUGACAAUGGCAUACCUUAAUCUUGAGACUUAUCAAAAUAACUUGUGUAACUCUCCUUGCAUCCCCACACAUUCCCUCCUUACCUGUCUAGUCAGACACAGCAGCCCCCUGACUCAGCACUGGACCGAGAACCUGCACAGCGACCAUGGAGAACCUGCAAACACAAUCUACAUGAGCCUACGGCACCACGCUUGUUCCCUAGCAUCAGAGAACUGACGUUUUGCUCUCCUGUCAUAGAAUGGCCUGUUUAUCCCAUCCUCAUCUCCUGAUAGCAUCUGCGGAAAGAUUGCUCAGUGCAAAAUCUGCUCACUAAAAUCCUCGGACGGUAUGUGUGGAGAACUGAAGGAAAGUUUUAAAAAAUUUUGGAAAUGUUUCUGUGUCUGAUGCUGUUGCCCAAACCGUUUCUCUCACAGAAGUCUUGGCCGGAACUGCCGCCUUCUUCCCGUUGGGCUGGGAGAGAUGAUUUUUCUCACUUUGCUCUGUGUUCUGGGACUUACCUCCUGCUGACCAUGACUGAGAUGCUCUGAGAUCCUGAGUUCUCCUGGAAUGCAAGUGAGAGAGAGGAACUGCAGCAGCAGGGCCAUCGUGGUCCCAGGGCAGAGCACCGACGCCAAUGGGGGCAUCUACAGGCUGAGGAGCUGAAGCUCUGCUGCUUCCGCCAGUCGCCUCAGUGCUCAGCUCGCACAGCAGUCGAGGGCUCUGCCUCUUCCUGGGUCUCAGUCCCAUCGCUAAUCAUCUCGGCGUGCCAACAGGAGAGGGCACCUCUGCCCUGGGUUCGAGUGCUCCCACCCGCUAGCCCAGCUCUCAAGGCUGCUGCGGCCGGAGAUGGGGAGAUGUCACUAGGGGAAAUACUGGCUGGGUUUAUCAUUCCCAAGUCACAGGCAUGUGGUGAGGGAAGGUGGCUUAUAAAGUGUCUCUCAAAAACAGUGCACACACACAUACAGUGUAAGCAGACAUGCACACACAAGGUGCACAUGUGAAUAGCACAUGUAGUGUAAGCAUGCACACACACAUUAUACACACAUGCAUACAAAGCAUGAGUAUAUAAACACAUGCACACACAUACACAUAGUAUGAGUAUACAGCAUACAAGCACAUAUGGACAUAUAAAACAAAUAUACAUGCAUGAUAUACAUAUGCAUAGCACACACGUGAUAUGAUGAAAGCAUGCAUACACAGGAUCAUGCAUACAUGAGCAUAUGUGCACAUGAUACACAUAUGCACGCAUAAAGCAAGAGCACAUAUGUACAUAUAAUAUAUAUAUGCAUAUACAUAAUACAUACAUGCAGGAGCAUAUAUGUAUACAUAUGAUUCACCUGGCACACAUAUAUGCACACAUAGAGCACUAGCAUUCAUCCACACAUGAUACUUGUGUGUGCAUAUACAGAGUGUGAGACUGCAUCCGCAAACAUGAUACAAAAAUGCAUACAUAUAGCACAAGCACAUAUUAAUGCACAUGGUAUACAUAUGCACACACAGUAUGAGCUCACAAGAACAUACAGUACACAUGUACAUCUUGAGCAUAUAUGCACACAACACAUGCACAAUAAAGCCUGAACAUGCAUACAUACUCAUGUACACAUAUAAGCAUACAAACACAAGAUAUACACAAAGUACACAAACACAAAAUCAUGAGCUUUCAUCCACAUAGAUUAUACAUGCAAGCACAUACAUAAUGUGAGCAUUCAUGCACUCACAUGCACAGCACACAUGACACAGUGUGAGCAUUCAUACACGUGAUUUACACAUAAACAGGCGUGCGUGCACGUAUGUCCACAAGCAUGCAUGCACAAACCUACACCAGAGAGCCAACAAGGAACACUCCUGCAUGCACAUACACAUUCUGGACUUUCAGGUCGCCGCCACAGCCUUCCAGCUUAGUGCUCCAUCUGCUCUUCACGAGGUGGUGUCGUUCCUCUCGCAGGCUAGGUCCUCUCUGCCUGACCCUCCAUCCGUGGUGCUCCGUGGUGCUCCGUGGUGCUCCGUGGUGCUCGCCUAGCGAAUGCAUCGCAGAGUCUGCGGGACAGCCAUUUCUCCACAGCUUGGUACACCAUGGAUGACUCUUGCUUGUUGCUGUCAGAUGGCAUGCUGAAAGCAGUGCUGGACCUUGUAGAAGAGGUAAGAGCAGGCCACACUGGAUUACAUGUCACCUUGCACAGUACAGGAGAGUGGAAACGUGAAACCUGAAUGUUCUUAUCACAGACAAAUGAUAAAUACAAUCCAUAAAACAUAAAAUUCUAUCUGCCAAUUAACAAAAAGAUGCCACAGAAUGGUCAUUAUCAUUAUUUGCAAAUAAAUAUUACUAUU